AUGUCGUUCAGCUCUUCCCUUCCACGUUAUCACCAUGCAUAUGGCAACUCCUCCAAGAACAUCACUCCAGACCUUGAAAAGGGAGAGUCCCAAACUAGAGGUCGAUGUCCACCCUUCUUUUCUCGCCCUUUUUCUCUCUUUGCUGGGCAUAACAGUGCCUUUUCAUGCCUCGAAACUCCUAGUUAGGGACCUCUGAUCAAAAAUCUUUCUUCAACAAAGUUGUUUGCCCAUGUCUCUUCUAUCUACCCUCCAAAUUUCAGCUCCAUCGGAGUCGAUUUGAAACCUUUACACCCCUCAAAGCAGAAGCUAUUCGGAAGCAAGCCUGUUCCGGAUUUCUGCUUGAAUUUCCUCUCUUGCUCUACCCGAAUCCCUCACAUCUUACUUGAGACUGAUACAAACACUUGGUAAGAUUCUGGAACCAUCAAGUUCCCCUUUCUUUCUUCAAUUUUUAGGCUCAGUACGUUCAAAACAACUACUCCACAUAUUGAGAAGUUUCUGUUGCACUCUGCAUGUUUGAGAUUGAGUUAAUUUCUUGACCUGCAACUGGGCUCGAUCCAAUCAGCUCCCUCAGCUCUCUUUCCUGUUGAAAUCCUUAAGAGAAACUCACCUUUUUGAUUAGUCUUUGGCUCGAUACUGUGGUGGAAUCUUGUGAAGUUGGUGGUUGCUACAAGGUUGCAUUGAGGCCAAGUGUUGCAAGAGAAAGCUCGAGUUCCAGGCUAUUGUUGUCAAAGCUUGGGUACGGAGGAUAAUCUUUGGAGGCCAAAAUUUGUUUUGUUUCAAGUUUAUUUUAUUUGGCUUGUUCGAUCUCGUAAAAAAUUUUGUAACGUUAUGUAUGGUUCACUACACCAAAAACUGCAUCACACGACUGUGAAAAAACGUCGUCUGAUUUGAAGACUCACCGUCGUCUAUCUCGAUGUUGUCUGAUGAAAAAUUAGACGACGGUGAAUUCACCGUUGUAUGAUACAAAGUCAGUCGACGUAUAUUUCUUAACACCGUUGUCCAAGAACUCGACAGAUGCCGGACA